rnacentral:piRNA from 1 species
GAUUAUGUGUCUGACACUUGUGA